AAGCUCGUAGUUGAAUUUCGAAUGUGGCUGGGCGGUCCGCCUCACGGUGUGUACUGUCUGGCUGUGUUCUCUUUCUUGGUGAGUCGGCAUGCCCUUUACUGGGUGUGUUGGGGAACCAGGACGUUUACCUUGAGAAAAUUAGAGUGUUCAAAGCAGGCCUACGCCCGAAUACAUUAGCAUGGCAUAAUAAAAUAGGACGUGCGGUUCUAUUUUGUUGGUUUCUAGAGCCGCAGUAAUGAUUAAUAGGGAUAGUUAGG
rnacentral:rRNA from 1 species